ACGAAGCUGCAGCACCCUGCCUCCUGCCUGUCUGAGCGUGGGCGGCCAGCUACAACUGCUGCCAGCAUUUGGGGCCAGCCGCUCUGCGUGGAGGACCAGCCCUGCCCCCGUAACAUUAGUGUGGGAGCCCUGGCAUCUCUGGCUCAAGGAGUCCUCGGGGAACCUCUAACCUGCCCUACUUCACAGGCUGCCGACUCGUCCAAGUCUGUCCAGGUCCCUGACUCCCCUGGGGUCUCUUUCCUGGGUCAGAGGUAAGCAGGGUGGAGCACAGAGAGGCCAAGCAACAGACCCAAGGCCACACAGCAGAUAUGCAGCGCACAGGACUAAAAGCUGGGACACAGACACUAGGGCUAAUAGCUGUGGCCCAUAAAGAAGCCAGAGAGAAGCUGAUAGAGGCCUUUGUUCUCCGCUCACUGCCCAGGCCCUGGGCCAAGCAGAGGAUGACAUAGGUGGGAGAUCCUCCACUGCCAUCUUGGACUCCGCAGUCUCCAGAUGGUGAACCAAGACAUUUCUGCUCAUUAUAAAUUACCCAGUCUGUGGUGUUCUGUUGUAGCUACACAAAAUGGGCCAAGCCAGCUAGCCACGUUGUACAGAGGCUUCUAUCUCUGGGGUGUCCCAGGACCAGGGACUCUUGUUCCGUGAACAGACACCUUUGAAGAUUGCGUUGCCUCUCCUGAGCCCAGCCACCAGUCAUGUUCUGUCAGCCACCUCACCAGUUCCUGGCCGCACACUGGCUGCACCUUGGCACUGUUGCCAGCGGCAUGGUCUGUCUGCACCUCCCACUCCCUGAGUAUCAUCUGGCGCAUGAUCUUGUUGCUACUACUGCUCCCGAUAGGCUACUACCCAGAGUCACUGGGCAAAAACUAGUGACCAAAGCCACCAGUCUGGCUCUGGUCAGCUUCCUGACAGCUUCCUAAUAAGUGGUGGAAAAUACCAUAAAU